rnacentral:rRNA from 1 species
CAGUAUUACACUCCCAACCCCUGUGAACAUACCACUUGUUGCCUCGGCGGAUCAGCCCGCUCCCGGUAAAACGGGACGGCCCGCCAGAGGACCCCUAAACUCUGUUUCUAUAUGUAACUUCUGAGUAAAACCAUAAAUAAAUCAAAACUUUCAACAACGGAUCUCUUGGUUCUGGCAUCGAUGAAGAACGCAGCAAAAUGCGAUAAGUAAUGUGAAUUGCAGAAUUCAGUGAAUCAUCGAAUCUUUGAACGCACAUUGCGCCCGCCAGUAUUCUGGCGGGCAUGCCUGUUCGAGCGUCAUUUCAACCCUCAAGCACAGCUUGGUGUUGGGACUCGCGUUAAUUCGCGUUCCCCAAAUUGAUUGGCGGUCACGUCGAGCUUCCAUAGCGUAGUAGUAAAACCCUCGUUACUGGUAAUCGUCGCGGCCACGCCGUUAAACCCCAACUUCUGUAUGUUGACCUCGGAUCAGGUAGGAAUACCCGCUGAACUUAAGCAUAUCAAUAAGCGGGAGGAA